UAACUAGGGAGCCCAGCUGAAAUCAAUUCCCCUUGUAACUGAUAAUCGCUCCUCUCCUGGCAGGAGCAAAGACUGCUGCCAAGUCCUGCCUGCAGGUCACGGUGCAUAGUGGGGCACUGCCCAGGACCUCGCCUCAGACAGUGCUAGGAAAACCAGCUCUCUUUGGAUCCCCAGCAAAACUAUUGCCCUGAGAAGCUACCCAGGCCUAAAGUUAGACAAAUCAUGGCACUUCCAUCUUAAUUCUCCUAUUUAACUGUAAAUAUAAGGAGCCCAACAGCUCAGCCAGGUUCUAUGAAGAGCCCUUACUCUGUGCUACAUGAGUCACAUAUUAUAGGAAAUUGAAGACCUAUAUUGAAGACCAUCUGGGCCUGUCAUCUAUUGCAUACUACUUGAAGAACAACAUUAUGGCUAAACUGGAGUUUGAAAAUCAUCGACUUAGACCAAGGUGUGGACCGCCGGCUAUGUGGGCUUCGGCUUCUUGUCCACCAGGACCAUGACGGCAGCCCACAUCGUCGUGGGCGGGAUGGCCCGCGGGCGGCCCUACCUCCAGGAUUAUUUUACAAAUGCAAACAGAGAAUUGAGAAAAGAUGCUCAGCAAGAUUACCACCUAGAAUAUGCCAUGGAAAAUAGUACACACACAGUAAUUGAAUUUGCCAGAGAACUGCAUACGUGUGACAUAAAUGACAAGAGUAUAAUGGAGAACACGGUAAGGGUGAUCUGGGCCUACCACCAUGAAGAUGUGGGAGAAGCAGGUCCCAAGUACCAUGAAUCCAAUCGUGGUACCAAGAGUCUGCGGUUACUGAAUCCUGAGAAAACCAGUAUGUUGUCUACAGCCGCACCAUACUUUGACCUGGUCAAUCAAGACGUUCCCAUCCCAAACAAAGGUACAACAUACUGGUGUCAAAUGUUUAAGAUUCCUAUGCUCCAGGAAAAGCAUCAUGUCAUAAAGGUUGAGCCCAUGAUUCAGAAAGGCCACAAGAGUCUGGUCCAUCACAUGCUCCUUUAUCAGUGCAGCAGCAACUUCAGUGACAGUGUCCUGGACGACGGGCACGAGUGUUACCACCCUAACAUGCCAGAUGCCUUCCUCACCUGUGAGACCGUCAUUUUCGCCUGGGCCAUUGGUGGAGAGGCUUUUUCCUAUCCACCUUAUGUUGGAUUAUCCCUUGGCACUCCGUUAGAUACUCAUUAUGUGCUCCUGGAAGUCCAUUAUGACAAUCCAACAUAUAAGGAAGGCUUAAUAGAUAAUUCUGGAUUGAGAUUAUUUUAUAUGGCAGAUAUAAGGAAAUACGAUGCUGGGGUGAUUGAGGCUGGCCUCUGGGUAAGCCUCUUUCACACCAUCCCUCCAGGCCUGCCCAACUUCCGGUCUGAGGGUCACUGCACCCUGGAAUGCCUGGAAGAGGCUUUAGAAGCUGAAAAGCCAAGUGGCAUCCAUGUUGUUGCUGUUCUGCUCCACGCUCGCCUGGCAGGCAGAGGCAUUAGGCUGCGUCAUUUUUGCAAAGGGGAGGAAAUGAGAUUACUUGCUUACGAUGACGAUUUUGACUUCAAUUUCCAGGAGUUUCAGUACCUAAAAGAAGAACAAACUAUCUUACCAGGAGAUAAUCUAAUUACUGAGUGUAGGUACAGCACAAAAGACAGAGCCUGGAUGACUUGGGGAGGAUUAAGCACCAGGAAUGAAAUGUGUCUCUCAUACCUUCUUUAUUACCCAAGAAUUAAUCUUACUCGAUGUGCAAGUAUCCCAGACGUCAUGGAGCAACUUCAGUUCAUUGGUGUUAAGGAGAUCUACAGGCCAGUCAUGACCUGGCCUUUCAUUAUCAAAAGCCCUAAGCAGUAUAAAAACCUUUCUUUCAUGGACGCAAUGAACAAGUUUAAAUGGACUAAAAAGGAAGGUCUUGCUUUCAAUAAGCUUGUCCUCAGCCUGCCAGUCAACGUGAGAUGCCCCAAGACAGACAAUGCAAAGUGGUCGAUUCAAGGCAUGACAGCAUUACCUCCAGAUAUAGAAAGACCAUAUCAAGCAGAGCCCUUGGUGUGCAGAGCUUCUUCCACUUCCCUGCGUGGAAAUGUCUGUCUCAAGCUGCUCCUGAGCUUUGUGGUCCUGGGCAGCUCACUCAGCACCAGGAGCUUGUGGCCAUAAUUCUGUCCUGCUCAGUGACCAUGGUUUUCCAUGAUCUGAGCCUGACAUUUCACAUGCAGACAAAAAGCAAAUUCAAGCAAUUUUCUUACUUGUGUUUAAAAUGAGUUGUAAAGCACUGGAUAUAAUUUUCUACAUCAAUGAUGGCCCAGAAACUUCUAAGGAAGAUACAGUACAGUGGUGGUUCAAGAAGUUUUGCAAAGCAGAUGACAGUCUUGAAGUUAAGGAGUGUAGUGCCUGGCCAUUGGAGUUGACAAUGACCAAUUGAGAGCGACUAUCAAAGCUAAUCCUUUUAUGAGAGAAGUUGCCAAAGAACUCAACAUUGACCAUUCUAUGGUUGUUUGUUUGGCAUUUGAAGCAAAUUGGAAAGGUGAAAAAGCUCAAAAAUGGGUGUUUCAUGAACUGACCAAAGAUUUUUAAAAAAUGUCGAUUUGAAGUGUCAGCUUCUCUUAUUGUACACAACAACUCAUUUCUUGAUCAGAUUGUGAUGUGCGAUGAAAAGUGGGUUUUAUAAGACAACCAGUGAUGAACAGCUCAGUGGUUGGACUGAGAAAUUCCAAAGCACUUUCCAAA